GAUGGUUUAACCCCUUCCCCUACUA
rnacentral:tRNA from 8 species